rnacentral:rRNA from 1 species
UACGGAGGGGCGAGCGUUAUUCGGAAUUAUUGGGCGUAAAGGGCGCGUAGGCGGCUUUGUAAGUCAAAGGUGAAAUCCCUCGGCUCAACUGAGGAACUGCCUUUGAAACUGCAAGGCUUGAGGCCGGGAGGGGGUAGCGGAAUUCCCAAUGUAGCGGUGAAAUGCGUAGAUAUUGGGAGGAACACCAGUGGCGAAGGCGGCUACCUGGACCGGUUCUGACGCUGAUGCGCGAAAGCGUGGGUAGCAAACAGG